CCUGGCGGAAGGAUCAUUAUCGAAUAAAUCUGGCGUGGUUGUAGCUGGCUUCUA
rnacentral:rRNA from 1 species